GUACACGCUGUGACUAGCAUAUCAAUAAGCGGAGGAAAAGAAACUAACAAGGAUUCCCUCAGUAACGGCGAGUGAAGCGGGAAGAGCUCAAAUUUGAAAUCUUAAAGGUCUACCUUGCACGAAUUGUAGUUUAAAGAAGUGUUUUCUGCUGACGAUUCGGUAAUAUAAGUUCUUUGGAAUAGGACAUCAUAGAGGGUGAGAAUCCCGUAUUUGACCAUUAUUUUCAGCUUUGUGAUACACUUUCAAAGAGUCGGAUUGUUUGGGAAUGCAGUCCAAAAUGGGUGGUAAAUUUCAUCUAAAGCUAAAUAUUGGCGAGAGACCGAUAGCGAACAAGUACCGUGAGGGAAAGAUGAAAAGAACUUUGAAAAGAGAGUUAAACAGUACGUGAAAUUGUCAAAAGGGAAGCGUUUGACACCAGUGUUGUUUUUCUGAAAAUCAAUUAAAGAACUGUUUAUGCUAAGUUGUUUAGACUUUAUCAGCUAUCUGCUUAGUUUUGAGCUUUUCUUUAAUGCACUUUUCAGUUAACAAGUCAACAUCAAUUUCUUUUGCUGUAAAAAAGCUUGAGGAAGGUGGCUUGAGAUUCGUCUUAAGUGUUUAUAGCCUCUUGCCUAUGCAGUCGGAGAGAUUGAGGUCUGCAGCGUAGAUCCUUCGGGGCUAAAUGCAUUUGUGCUAAGUUAUAGCAUUUUAUAGACAACUUGUUGACUAUGAUUUGUCUUGUAGCUUACUCGCUUAUGUUAUUUUACCUACGCUUAGGAUGUUGAACUACUGAGACAUAGA
rnacentral:rRNA from 1 species